CCGCGUGUGUGAAGAAGGCCUUCGGGUUGUAAAGCACUUUCGGACGGAACGAAAUCGCGCGAUCUAACAAGUCGCGUGGAUGACGGUACCGUAAGAAGAAGCACCGGCUAACUACGUGCCAGCAGCCGCGGUAAUACGUAGGGUGCGAGCGUUAAUCGGAAUUACUGGGCGUAAAGUGUGCGCAGGCGGCAGAGCAAGUCGAGUGUGAAAGCCCCGGGCUUAACUUGGGAAAUUGCGCUCGAAACUACUUUGCUGGAGUGUGGCAGUAGGAAGGUGGAAUUCCAACGUGUAGCGGUGAAAUGCGUAGAGAUGUGGAGGAACACCAAUGGCGAAGGCAGCCUUCUGGGCCAACACUGACGCUCAUGCACGAAAGCGUGGGGAGCAAACAGGAUUAGAUACCCUGGUAGUCCACGCCCUAAACGAUGACGACUAGUUGUUGGGGGAGUUAAAUCCCUUAGUAACGCAGCUAACGCGCGAAGUCGUCCGCCUGGGGAGUACGGUACGCAAGAUUA
rnacentral:rRNA from 1 species